ensembl:snoRNA SNORD79 Small nucleolar RNA SNORD79
AAUUGCAUGUGAUGCAAUGUUGAAAAACAUUGGGAAUCUCUCUGAAUAAGGAUGAUGGACAACUUUUUUACUGAUGCAAUG